CCCCCCCCCUCAUUACAGUAUUUUUUCUGUAAUGUAUUUAUGUUGACAGUGGCUGAAUUGUACAUAUGGAAUUUUCUGAAAUUUUGUUCUUCAGUCUUUCCCUUUAUUUGCUAUCUUUCCUUUUAUUUAGGGCAGUAUUGUAAUGAUUGGCCAUUCAGCAGGUGCUCAUCUGUGUGCAUUGACCACUCUCUUUCUGGUGGAGGGUGUUGAUGAGCUGGCAAUAGAGGCAGAAACACAGAAGGAAAUUACCUGUUCCAUCAAAGGGGUUAUAGGUAAAGGCAUCAAUUGUAUUACUGCAAUACAAUUUAAAAUAACACAUAUCACCAGUUCAACUUAACUCAAAAUGAAUGUGUUUCUAUGAAUGUCUUCAAGGACUGAGUGGAGUGUAUGAUGUCGUGGACCAUUACCAGCACGAAAAAAUUCGAGGAAUUGAGUAUGUGUCCACAAUGCACAGAGCCAUGGGAGGAAUGGAUAAAUUUGAUAUUUACUCACCUAGAACUUUCUUAGGGAAACUUAAUGAGGGUGCUCUGAAAAGACUUCCUCCUUUCGGCUUGCUCCACGGAACAGAUGACAUCGUUGUUCCUGUAGAGUCUUCAGUCCAGUUCUCUGAGGCUCUCACGUCCCUCUCUGCGAAGGUGUCCCUCUAUUUGCUGCCCAAGAUGAACCACACUGAGAUUGUCACUGACCUUAUGGCACCGGACAGGCACUUCUACCACAUUGUAUUUGGGUGUAUCAAACAGGAGUUCCAUAAAUUCAUAGCAAAGUGUUGACAAAAUGGGCACUGAUUCCAUAAUGCUGUAGUUUCUCUGCAGUUUUUUUUCUUUUUUUUUUCUUUUUUUACUAUUCAGUUCAUUUGAAGUGGCGCAGUGGCGCAGUGGGUUGGACCACAGUCCUGCUCUCCGGUGGGUCUGGGGUUCGAGUCCCGCUUGGGGUGCCUUGCGACGGACUGGCGUCCCGUCCUGGGUGUGUCCCCUCCCCCUCCAGCCUUGCGCCCUGUGUUGCCGGGUUAGGCUCCGGUUCCCCGUGACCCCGUAUGGGACAAGCGGUUCUGAAAAUGUGUGUGUGUGAGUUCAUUUGAAUUACAAGCAAAGUAAGUUUUAGGCAUCCAUUUACUAUGGCUUUAGUAAUUUUAAUUAUGCUAUUUUAUGCGGACAUCUUUCCAUUGUUUAAUAUUCCAUUAUAAAAUAGUGUAUGUUAAAUUUUAUUUGCUCAUUUAAAAUAAUGAUGUAUUGCAGUGUAAACUUUACAAAGGACCAGUGUGCUAGUUGACCUGUUUUUCUUUAUCUGUAACAUUUCAUGUUAUUUAGGUUUUGUUAAGAAAUUGAGAAUAAUCCUUAUCAUUGUUAUUUUGGGGAAAUAACUAUUGGAGAAUUACAUCAAACUUGUCCAGUAGAACGUCCCUUUUACUCAUUAAGAUUAAGUAAAUUGGAAAUUUACUGAAACAGUAUGAAGUCCAGAAUAUUUAUGAAUAUACAGUAGAGCUUAAAUAUCAGAUCAUAUUUGGGACUAUUUAAAUAUUACAAUAAUUGUGAUAUCAUUUUUACCGGAUAGCAUGUUCUGUAGAAAACGGUAUAUUGCUGUAUGAGUUAUGCGGAAGGCUCUGGAAAGUUAACCUAGGGUGAAACCCUGGUCAUCACUAUUUCCAUUUCCGUUUGAAGAAUCCUUACUUGUUUUGUGUAAUUAGUCGAGCGCCUUGUUCAUCUUUGUGGGCAGCGGUGCCAAGAUGCACCUGGGAUCAACCCCCUGGCCAGCCAUAAAUUACUCCUCUAUGAAUUUUUUUGGGGGGCUGAUACCAUAUCUUCUAGUUUUCAUACUUUAUUGAAGUGUUUUUUUUUUUUUUUCUUUUGUUUUAAACCUGAUUGGUUCAUGAGCCCUGACUAUGUAGUGGUCAUGGGCCUCUCUAGACAUAAAUAUCUGACCUGUUCAUCACAGUACUGUACUUUGAAGCAGAUGGUGACGUCCUAUUGCAGACAGUAUUCUGUGUGGCACUUUUGCUGAAUUCUAUCGAUAGAAGUUUUAGUAGUUGCAAGAGUCCUUGCUAUUCUUCUACAGUUGCAAUUAAAUGUAUUUUAUAAUAAUUAGUCUGACAACUAUGAUCUGUAUGUGGUUUAAUUCUCAGACUUUUUAAACUUUCUUAUUUUUAAUGAAAGUACAUAUUUAAUCCGUGUUGAAAUUAGUCUUAAUGAAUGUAUCCCUGGAGAAUGACUAACACUAUACUUUUUACUGUUUCACACAAUAAAGUGAUGUGCCCAAAACUGGGAAAAUGUUGU
ensembl:lncRNA